rnacentral:rRNA from 1 species
GAAGAACGCUGGCGGCGGGCUUAACACAAGCAAGUCGAGCGGAGCGGCGAACGGGUGAGUAACGCGUGAGUAACUGCCCCCCUCUGUGGGAUAACAGUGGGAAACGGCUGCUAAUACCGGAGAGUGGGGGAUGACUUGGGUCGUAUCAGCUGGAUGGUGGGGUAGGGGUCUAACAAGGUGCCGAGGGGUAGCCGGCCUGAGAGGGCGACCGGCCACCUUUGUCUGCGAUAGGGACCAGACUGCUACCGGAGGCAGCUGUGGAGAAUAUUGCACAACGGGGCAGACCCUGAGACAGCACCGCCGCGUGCGGAAUGACCGCCUUCGGGUUGAAAACCGCUUCCAGCCAUGACGCGGUAGUGGCCGAAGAAGCACCGGCUAACUACGUGCCAGCAGCCGCGGUAAUAC